rnacentral:misc_RNA from 1 species
AGAAUGUGAUAGUUUUUUAAUUGAGGUUCUUGGUAGUUUUUUAAUAGUAUUCUGAGAGCAUAAACCUACAAACAAGAAUUUUUAUUUAUGAUUUGGAUGUGUUAUCCUAUUAGUAAUGGUGUGAUUGUUUGAUAGUAAUGAUAGCAGAAACUGAUGGUGCUGUUUCCUCUUCCAUUACUGUUGACUGUGCUGUGGUAAAGUUGAGAUUUUGAGUGAUGGCCAUUUGGUGGUAGUAAUAGAGCUUGGACUGAUGUUGUUGUGAUGGUAUUUCUGUGGUGAUUGUGGUGGACCUGUAGCAGUGGUAGGAUAGAUGAAGAUGCAAGUCCAUUAGCUGUUAUGUGACGGAGGAAGACGUUGAUUGGGUUGUUAGUUGUUACUGUAGGGUGGCGCUGGCUGAGUGGAUGCUGGUGGGCCUUGGUGCAACGGUAGAGUUGCUUCUUUCAUGGGUUCAAGCUGUGGACAACCUCGUUGCAAAAAAGCAAGGAGAUAGAAGGCUACAUAUGAUAAAGGAUCCUAAUCUCAUGCAUUGGGAUGCCCACUUUAGUUGUAGGAUCUUGAGGGAGACUUGGACUACUUCUCAAGCUUUAUAUGUUGGGGGAUUUUGAUUACUAUUUACUAUUACCCUUCUCAAAAUUGAACUGUAGAUUUGUGCAACUGUACCAUGAAAUCUAUAAGCCAAGGAAUGGGCCAAAAAUUCUGUCAGCCAU